AACGAACGCUGGCGGCGUGCCUAACACAUGCAAGUCGAACGUGAUUGGAAGCUUGCUUCCAUGAAAGUGGCGCACGGGUGAGUAACGCGUAGAUAAUCUACCUGAUGAUCCGGGAUAACACUUCGAAAGGGGUGCUAAUACCGGAUAAGCCCACGAGGUCUUUGGACCAUGCGGGAAAAGGGGGGGACCUUCGGGCCUUCCGUCGUCAGAUGAGUCUGCGUACCAUUAGCUAGUUGGUAGGGUAAAGGCCUACCAAGGCGACGAUGGUUAGCUAGUCUGAGAGGAUCGUCAGUCACACGUGAACUGAGACACGGUCCAGACUCCUACGGGAGGUAGCAGUGGGGAAUUUUGCGCAAUGGGCGAAAGCCUGACGCAGCAACGCCGCGUGAGUGAUGAAGGUUUUCGGGUCGUAAAGCUCUGUCAAUGGGAAAGAAGUGUAUUUUGGCUAAUAUCCUUAAUACUUGACGGUACCCAUAAAGGAAGCACCGGCUAACUCCGUGCCAGCCGCCGCAGUAACAC
rnacentral:rRNA from 1 species